rnacentral:rRNA from 1 species
AUUGAACGCUGGCGGCAUGCUUUACACAUGCAAGUCGAACGGUAACAGGCCGCAAGGUGCUGACGAGUGGCGAACGGGUGAGUAAUGCAUCGGAACGUGCCCAGUCGUGGGGGAUAACGCAGCGAAAGCUGCGCUAAUACCGCAUACGAUCUCUGGAUGAAAGCGGGGGACCGAAAGGCCUCGCGCGAUUGGAGCGGCCGAUGUCAGAUUAGGUAGUUGGUGGGGUAAAGGCGCACCAAGCCAACGAUCUGUAGCUGGUCUGAGAGGACGACCGGCCACACUGGGACUGAGACACGGCCCAGACUCCUACGGGAGGCAGCAGUGGGGAAUUUUGGACGAUGGGCGCAAGCCUGAUCCAGCAAUGCCGCGUGCAGGAAGAAGGCCUUCGGGUUGUAAACUGCUUUUGUACGGAACGAAAAGCCCCGGGUUAAUACCCUGGGGUCAUGACGGUACCGUAAGAAUAAGCACCGGCUAACUACGUGCCAGCCGCCGCGGUAAUAC